AAUAGAUACCCCGGUAGUCCACGCCGUAAACGAUGAGUGCUAAGUGUUAGGGGGUUUCCGCCCCUUAGUGCUGCAGCUAACGCAUUAAGCACUCCGCCUGGGGAGUACGGUCGCAAGACUGAAACUCAAAGGAAUUGACGGGGGCCCGCACAAGCGGUGGAGCAUGUGGUUUAAUUCGAAGCAACGCGAAGAACCUUACCAGGUCUUGACAUCCCGUUGACCACUGUAGAGAUAUAGUUUCCCUUCGGGGCAACGGUGACAGGUGGUGCAUGGUUGUCGUCAGCUCGUGUCGUGAGAUGUUGGGUUAAGUCCCGCAACGAGCGCAACCCUUGAUCUUAGUUGCCAUCAUUUAGUUGGGCACUCUAAGGUGACUGCCGGUGACAAACCGGAGGAAGGUGGGGAUGACGUCAAAGUCAUCAUGCCCCUUAUGACCUGGGCUACACACGUGCUACAAUGGACGAUACAAACGGUUGCCAACUCGCGAGAGGGAGCUAAUCCGAUAAAGUCGUUCUCAGUUCGGAUUGUAGGCUGCAACUCGCUAC
rnacentral:rRNA from 1 species